rnacentral:lncRNA from 1 species
UAGCUCUACACAUCCGAUCAUCUCCGCUAAGGAAUUCCCACUAUUGACAUCCGUUCUUAAACUCGUUGAUUGCCACCUAUUCUUCCCCAACAGCCUGGUCUAAAAGCCUUUAUUAUACCUGUCUUCAUGCACAAGAUAUCUAUCUAUCUGCUCAUCAGCUCAAGAAAGGAAGAGCUAAAAUCUCCUUUGAGUUAGCUCUAGAUUACCUGGUAUUUCGCUAAUAAGUGCCUCAUUUCUCCUAUCAUCACAGGAAGACCGAUCUACCUCAGACAUAUUAUACUUCUUAGUUGCCCUAGUCUUACUCCUAUUCGAGCUCAUCGGACUCAGCUACUGUUGCCCUCCUUUCUUGAUCAAUUCCUGCUCAAUCUGCCUUCAAACCCAGGGACUCACCCGUGCAUGCCCCAUUUGCCGUCUUUCCUCAAACCCGUUCUUCCUUUGAGGAUAUCUCUGUGAAUUGAUCCAAAGCAGAACUGGCUUUUUAGUCCGAUGUCUCAGAUCUCAAGACUGGAAGGUGAGCAAACUAGAUCGCAAAGCAGGUGUCAUAUUCGAGUUCCUUUGUUGAUGAGUCCAAAGAAGAGAUAAACCCGAGCAUCUCGUUCCUUUUGCUUAGUUUUGGCCCUAGGGGGAGUAGGAAAUAAUCAACUUUAGGAUAGCCUCUCCGAGUGAAAACGGGUUUGCUGACUUUUCCCAUUAGGCGAGAUGAAAAGAGGAUAGCACCGAGUUGAGCUAAUCCAGAGGGAGAAGCGCUCAAAAGAAGAAGAAAUCAACCAGCCAGGAGGGAAUUAGAUCCUGUAAAGAAAGAGAAAACUGAUGGGUGAGCGUCAAUAACCGGUCUUCCUGGUGAGAUGAGAGCUAAAGUGGACAAGUCGGAUGAGCUGACCGGGUGUACGAAAACCCUAGAAUAGAAGAAGCGGGCGAACCUGUAACAAAGGAGGGAUUCGAGAUGAGCGAAAGAAGCAGUUUACCUUGGCAGAGAUGAGGCCAAUUCCUUGAUUGAUGAGAGUGGGAAUUGACCAGAAAUCCUUAAUUAUAAUUAUAGUAGUAGAUUGACGAGAAUGACUCUAGGAGCAGUAGCCUUUAUUGGUGUUUUCUCGCAAUGAAUUCCUGAACCAAUUGCCAAAUAGAAAGGCUAGACAUCAGUUUGUAACCAGACUAUGGAUAGGAGGGCAGGAUAUGAGGGGAAAUCAGAUCAGCAGUUCUUACCUCAAAUUGAUGAGUUCUUUGGCCUCUACUAUAUUAUAAUUAUAGGGAUUUAUUAAAGGAAAGAGGGCCAAAAGAGCCCAUUAAGAGUGACGGUACGGGCUUCUUGUUAAUGCCAAGCGGUUGUAGCCAGCGACUGAUGCCCGGACUGGGGAAGCAGGAGAGCAGCUGGGGGUAAGCCCUCUUUGGAGACCCUAUUAGCGCAGUUGUUCUUUCGAGCUAUUCUUCAAUCUACCACUUUUCUCUAUUGAUAGAUGUUGCUAGCUUAGAAAAUCCGUAUAGCUAUCCUGUACUUGUUCUUAAUAAAGGUCUUCCUUUCUUGUCUUUAGCUGAGGAGAUAGAUCUUGUGGCUGAAAACAGGUUUCCUUAGCGCAGAUGAAUGGUUAAGAAAAGGCUUACGAGCCAGAAGCAGAAGAAUAGGUAGUAGAUGUCAAUUCAAAGCUAAAUCCGAGCUAGACAAGAGUUAGUGACCAGUUGAGAUUGAAGGAAGUCGCUCGGUGUUCUUACCUGGGGAUAAAUCCCAAAUAGAAUAGGUGUAAAUCAACAAGUUUCUAUGAUCCGAGGGAGAUAAGUCUUCCUUUCACGGGCAUACUUUGCUAAAGAAGAGAGCAUCAAGAGUGGAAAUCGAAAGAAAAGGAAGGGCCUUCGCUUUCCAGAGAUGCUUUGGUGACAACGGUUUCUUCUUCUGCUGCUGCCAAAGAUGAGCAGGUAAGCGGGUUGUUUUCGAUCACUAGCUGCUCCUGUCUUUCACAACAGGAACUCGUGUAUCCGUCUCAUCGGUUGCUUUUGAGGCAGGUGUCUCUUAAGAGAAGUAAUUCUUUUUUCACCUGAGUUUAGCAUCAAUUUUCUAUCUUCUUUUGAUUCAACUACAGGAAAGAGCGGAUCUUCCUUCUUUGACUCUAGCUCUGAUAUUGGAAUAGUACCGAAAUCCGAUCAUCCAAGGAGGAACAAAGCCGGGAGCUACCCUUUUGGUCUUCUUUCUGAAUUCCCUUCUUCUGAGCUCUUUUCAGCAGUUGUCCACUCUUUUCAUAGGAGGGAGUUCGAUCUUCCUUUUCAGAGAUUAGUGGCAAUACCGAGCGAGAUGAAAGGAGAUCAGAGGAAAUUGUGCCUGAAAUAACCGGUCUUCCUUUCUUUAGCCGGAGCAGAUAUGGACAGGUAAAAUAGGCUUUCCAGCUAGGAAGGGUGUCAUCUGUCGAAAACAAGUAGAAAGAAGUAGUGGAUGUCAACAGAAGAUGGGACCAGCGGAUUAGAGCGAAAAGCUGGUGCCAAUAAGCUCAAGAAUUGGAUCCAGUACUAUAUUAGUAGUGGCAUUCCUCGGUGCCAGAUUAGGGCAAAGCUGAGGCAGAGGAGGCCAAAGAUAGGGCUAGAGCCGCACUAUGGAUAGGAGGUCAGCAGCGGAUAGCUAAGAUUGAAGUAAAUCAAAGAGCAGAUCCUGUGGCUGAAGGUAAUAAAGGCUUUACCAGCCAAAACCGGUACUCUAUUAAAGGCAUUCCUCGCAGGCAGAUCUCAUGAAUUGUAGUAAGAAUGUGGCAAAUAAGAGCUAGUUCUUCCUUUUGCUGACUUUUGACACCAGGUGAGCCGCAACUUGAUCAACUUUUGGAUGGGUCUCAAAGGGGAAAACGGGUUAGUGGCUUUUCGUAUUAGGUGAGCCGCAAAAUUCAUGAUUUGAAUAGGCCAUCCCGAGGGGAAAGUAAGUUAGUAGGUUUUGCCAUUAAGGGAGGCGGAUGAAUUAGCUCCUUCAACUCCCAACUCAGAUAAAAACCAGAGGGAAACAAGAGCUUCUCGUUGCAGUCACUCGGGAAUAA